AGUGGAAUUGCUGGGUCAUAUGGUAACUUUAUGUUUAACUUUUUGAGGAACUGCCAAACUGUUUUCCAAAGAAGGUAUACCAUUUUACAUUUCCACCAGCCAC
rnacentral:pre_miRNA from 1 species